UAUACUAUUACUAUUAAUAUUUAUUUUCUUUGUUUGCAAUUAUAAUAUAUUAUCAAAAGUUAAGUUUCUGUCAAUGUUUUUGUCAUUUUAGCAUUCAAUAAAUUAAUCUACAUUUUUUUUGUUUUUUCUUUAUUUUGAAAUUAAUAUUUUACAAAUACUAUUAUUUUUCAUAAAUUCGGGAUGUGAAACUUUCCUUGCUAAAAAAAAAACAAAGAAAACCGAAAGCAACACAAUCUCGUAUAUGGCGUGAAAGAGGUCAAAGGUGCAUAUCAACUGCAAUUGUGCAGUAUUAAAAUCAUUCUAGGUACACUCUAGGCAUAGAAGAGAAUUAGUGAUAGUGUCGUAGCAUGUAGCAUGUAGGUGGGGCCUUCAUUGCCCGGUUUCGUUCGGUUUAAUAAAUUGCACCAAACAUAUUUAAAGACAUUUUACUUUAAAAUACACACAUACAAAAAUAUCAAAUACACACAACAAGAGAAUAGAUGCACAAGAAAACGUACACAUUUCAAUUUUGGUCCGUCCGAGCCAGAGCCAGAGCAGAGCACAGAGCAGAGCCACAGCUAUUUACAGUACACAUCUUUGAAAGACGUUUGUGUUUAUAAAUCUACUCAUUGGUAUUUUUUGUCAGUAUUGCAUACAGUACACAGGAAGAAUGAGAUUCAACAAACAUUAAUAAAUAAAUACAAGCAAAUUAUUUUAUUUUUUUAGAGGGCAAAUUAUACUUUUUCACUUAAUAAAAUGUUGUUAAAAAAUUAAAAACAAUAACUUCCGUUUUGGCCAACAAUCUGCAUUUAUUCCAAUUCCAAUCAGAUAAAGAAGAAAAUUAUAUAAAAAAAAAAAGCUGAUGUAGCUACG